UCAUACCAAAAAGGAUGGUUCUCACAUGAAUGUGGAAACUAAACAAAUUAUGGUUAAAGCAAAUGAGAAGUUAGCUGAAUGUGAAAUAGUAGAUGAGGAUAUGCAAAUUGUUGAAACUGAAAUUCUAACACAAGUUAUUGGAAAAGAACGAUGUGGGCAAGUAAGAGUGCUUGGAUUGGGUCCAACACUCAAAACUUAUUAUGGGGGUACGACUAGCAGAACUUCUACUACCUCAAGCGCCCAAUCAAGUGAGUUUGUUGAGCGGUUUAAUCAAAUGGAACAACAAAUGCAACAAUUGAAAGAGGAGCGAGAGCAAGAACGUGCACAACGUGAGGAAGAACGUGCACAAGAAUGUGCUCGAUAUAAUGCUCUUCUUGGGUUUUUACAAACUCGAUAACCUGGAGUUAUUAUCCCUGAGUUGACACAGCUGGCUCAACUUCUCAGUCACAGAAUCAGCCUUCUGGAGAUGAGUAGUGGCAUUCAUCAAGCUAUGGAGGAUUUUUAUUUAUCUUUGUUUUCUUUUGUAUUAUUUGGAGGAA